rnacentral:rRNA from 1 species
ACGCUGGCGGCGCGCCUAACACAUGCAAGUCGAACGGAGUUAUUUAGUUAGAUCCCUUCGGGGUGACGACUUCUUAACUUAGUGGCGACGGGUGAGUAACACGUGAGCAACCUGCCUAUCAGAGGGGGAUAACGUUCUGAAAAGAACGCUAAUACCGCAUAACGUACGAAACCGGCAUCGGUUUUGUACCAAAGGAGCAAUCCGCUGAUAGAUGGGCUCGCGUCCGAUUAGGUAGUUGGUGAGGUAACGGCUCACCAAGCCUACGAUCGGUAGCCGGACUGAGAGGUUGAACGGCCACAUUGGGACUGAGACACGGCCCAGACUCCUACGGGAGGCAGCAGUGGGGAAUAUUGCACAAUGAGGGAAACCCUGAUGCAGCGACGCCGCGUGAGGGAAGAAGGUUUUCGGAUUGUAAACCUCUGUCCUUGGUGACGAAACUGACGGUAGCCAAGGAGGAAGCCACGGCUAACUACGUG